rnacentral:rRNA from 1 species
UACGUAGGGUGCAAGCGUUGUCCGGAAUUAUUGGGCGUAAAGAGCUCGUAGGCGGCUCGUCACGUCGGCUGUGAAAACCCGGGGCUCAACCCCGGGCCUGCAGUCGAUACGGGCGAGCUAGAGUUCGGCAGGGGAGACUGGAAUUCCUGGUGUAGCGGUGAAAUGCGCAGAUAUCAGGAGGAACACCAAUGGCGAAGGCAGCUCGCUGGAACGGUACUGACGCUGAGGCGCGAAAGCGUGGGGAGCGAACAGG